rnacentral:lncRNA from 1 species
CACCACCCUAGCCUGUACUGAGCUCAAAGCCAGUCUUAUGGUUAUUUGUGGAACACACUGGUUGUUUUUAGAUUUCUGAGAAAGGCGGUUUUGUUAAUGUCUCAUUUAGUAGUUUCUUUGCUCUGUCCACAGUGAGAACAAACCAAGGAAUGGAGGAAUCUGUGUGUUCAAUCACAACUGCAAUUGACAUCAUCAUCCUGGCCAAUGACGUCUGCUUUUCUAUGGUUGAGCAACCAUGUUGCAGACAACUCAACACCCCAUCCUCAUCUUCCCAGAGGUAUAGUAUGGAAACUUUUCUGAUGGAUUGAGUGCUGCUCAAAUAGAAUUAGUCACGUGCCGAAUACAACCGGUGUAGACCUUACAGUGAAAUACUUACUUAAAACCUUUAAGAAACAAUGCCGUUUUAAGAAAAAAAAUAGAUGCAUAAAAACAAUAACUGUAACAAAUAAUUAAAGAACAAAAAUAAAAAAUAAAAUAACAGUAGCGAGUACAGGGGGUACCGGUACAGAGUCAAUGUGAGGGGCACCGGUUAGUCAAGCUGCAUAGAUAAUAAACAGAGAGUAGCAGCAGUGUAAAAGGGGGGGGGGGGUAAAUACAAAUAGUCUGGGUAGCCAUUUAGUUAGCUGUUUAGGAGUCUUAUGGCUUGUGGGUAGAAGCUGUUAAGAAGCCUUUUGGACCUAGACUUGGCGCACCGGAACAGCUUGCRGUGRGGUAGCAGAGGACAGUCCAUGACUAGGGUGGCUGGAAUCUUUAACAAUUUUUAUGGCUUUGCUCUGACACUGCCUGGCAUAGAGGUCCUGGAUGGCAGGAAGCUUGGCCCCAGUGGUGUACUGGGCCGUACGCACUACCCUCUGUAGUGCCUUGCAGUCAGAGGCCGAGCAGUUGCCAUACCAGGCAGUGAUGCAACCAGUCAGGAUGCUCUUGAUGGUGGAGCUGUAAACCAUUUUGAGGAUCUGAGGACCCAUGCCACUACCACUAACUUGUGGAGAAGUACAGAUCAGGGUUGG